CGCAGCUUUCGCCACUUUGGCCUUUUGCCGAUUUUCGGUUUAUCUCUGUGGGCAGGAAAAUCGGAAUCGAAUCGGCCCGGCCAUAUAAAAUAAAAGGCCAGACAGUGUCUGGGCUUUGGCACAGUCGUUCGUUUCGCACCAAAUGGGAGACAACAACGUAGGAGAAAAGAGACGUUUCAAAUAUAGAAUAUCAAGGGUCUGCCGAACGAAACGCAAGGAAAAGAGAAUUUGCUGAAUGAAAUGUAAUAAUUCGCUGACGGAUGACGUCACGUCCUAUGUGGUCAUUAGCACUCCAGUGGCGCAACCAGGGGGCCAAUACUACGCUCCGAAAUAGUUGGUAAAACCUUUGACAAUCAAACCAAAUUAAUUCACAAUUUUCAGCACUUGAAGAAUGGAAGACAACAAAGUGAAAAAACCCGCAAGUUGAAUCUAGAUACGCCCCUGGUUCCAGUUUUCUGCUCUCAUAUGACUAAUUUUGGCAUUGUUAUUGCAUAAAAUUCGCAUGGCGUCAUCAUCAUCAACGCGUACAACUACCAAGCUCGCAAAGAUCGUUAACCCCAAAGCGACGGAGACCUAAUACCAGGCACAAGGUCGACUCCCGUGACCCCCUCCCCAGAAGGGGGUCGCCAUUCGCUGAUGCAGUUUUGUUGCCAUGCGGCGGCCAAACAUCUGUCUCAGAACUGCAAAUGCUGAAAAAAAAACCUGACUGGGCUUGGCUUGGACUGGCCUGGCUCUUCAUCUUCAACUCCAGCCACCACAGUUCCUACUCGUUAUAUGUGAUGAUGUUCCCCCGACUGUAAAGUCUCCUACCUUGCGCGCUAAUCAGUGACCGGGGCUGGUUUUUUAUAUACAGUCAGGUACCUGAAGUAGCGCGCGUGGUGGCAGACAUAUAUCUCCAUCUUCACCAUAUAAAUAAGCGAAAUGCUCGCAGGC
rnacentral:lncRNA from 1 species